GGCUGGGCCGAAGGUAGUGAGUUAUCAGUCAGUUACAGAUGGAACUCCUUCCUCUACUCUUUCCCCAACCCUCACUGCUGCACUUGACUAGUCUUGA
rnacentral:Y_RNA from 2 species